rnacentral:rRNA from 1 species
GAAGCCUAGCUUGCUGGGUGGAUUAGUGGCGAACGGGUGAGUAACACGUGAGCAACCUGCCCCUGACUCUGGGAUAAGCGCUGGAAACGGCGUCUAAUACUGGAUACGAACAAGAAUCGCAUGGUUACUUGUUGGAAAGAUUUUUUGGUUGGGGAUGGGCUCGCGGCCUAUCAGCUUGUUGGUGAGGUAAUGGCUCACCAAGGCGUCGACGGGUAGCCGGCCUGAGAGGGUGACCGGCCACACUGGGACUGAGACACGGCCCAGACUCCUACGGGAGGCAGCAGUGGGGAAUAUUGCACAAUGGGCGGAAGCCUGAUGCAGCAACGCCGCGUGAGGGAUGACGGCCUUCGGGUUGUAAACCUCUUUUAGCAGGGAAGAAGCGAGAGUGACGGUACCUGCAGAAAAAGCGCCGGCUAACUACGUGCCAGCAGCCGCGGUAAUACGUAGGGCGCAAGCGUUAUCCGGAAUUAUUGGGCGUAAAGAGCUCGUAGGCGGUUUGUCGCGUCUGCUGUGAAAUCCCGAGGCUCAACCUCGGGCCUGCAGUGGGUACGGGCAGACUAGAGUGCGGUAGGGGAGAUUGGAAUUCCUGGUGUAGCGGUGGAAUGCGCAGAUAUCAGGAGGAACACCGAUGGCGAAGGCAGAUCUCUGGGCCGUAACUGACGCUGAGGAGCGAAAGGGUGGGGAGCAAACAGGCUUAGAUACCCUGGUAGUCCACCCCGUAAACGUUGGGAACUAGUUGUGGGGUCCAU